rnacentral:tRNA from 5 species
UGGGGUGUGGUGUAAUUGGCAACACGGCUGAUUCUGGUUCAGUUGUUCUUGGUUCGAGUCCAGGCACCCCAGCCA